rnacentral:rRNA from 1 species
GGACCACCCUCCAAGGCUAAAUACUCGGUGGCGACCGAUAGUGCACUAGUACCGUGAGGGAAAGGUGAAAAGAACCCCAGUGCGGGGAGUGAAAAGAACCUGAAACCGUGUGCCUACAAGCGGUCGGAGGCUUGCCUCUCAUGCCUCUUCGGAGGCAUUAUUGGGAGGCGGCUGACGGCGUGCCUAUUGAAUAAUGAGCCGGCGAGUUACUCUCAGUCGCCAGGUUAACCGCCUCAGGCGGGGAGCCGUAGCGAAAGCGAGUCCGAACAGGGCGUCAAAGUGGCUGGGAGUAGACCCGAAACCGGGCGAGCUACCCAUGGGCAGGGUGAAGUCCGGGUAAUACCGGACGGAGGCCCGAACCUCAGAGCGGUGAAAAGCUCGUGGAUGACCUGUGGGUAGGGGUGAAAGUCCAAACAAGCCCGGAGAUAGCUGGUUCUCCCCGAUAUGCCUUUAGGGGCAGCCUCGGGUGGACCGUGCAGGAGGUAGAGCACUGUUUGGGCUAGGGCCCGUAAGGGUACCAAACCCAGGCAAACUCCGAAUGCCUGCACGCAAUACCCGGGAGUGAGGUGAUGGGGGAUAAGCUCCAUCACCGUGAGGAAAACAAUCCAGACCGCCAGCUAAGGUCCCCAAAUCCAGGCUAAGUGGUGAAGGAUGUGGGGCUGCGCAGACAGCCGGGAGGUUGGCUUAGAGGCAGCCAUCCUUUAAAGAGUGCGUAAAAGCUCACCGGUCGAGUGGUUCUGCGCCGAAAAUGAUCGGGGCUUAAGCCUGGUACCGAAGCUGCGGGUCAGGGUAUGCGUUGCAUGCCCUGGCGGUAGGGGAGCGUUCCCAGCGCGGUGAAGGCAGACCGUGAGGCUUGCUGGAGCGCUGGGAAGUGAUUAUGCCGGCAUGAGUAGCGAUAAAGCGGGUGAGAACCCUGCUCGCCGAAAGCCUAAGGUUUCCUGGGGAAGGUCAGUCCUCCCAGGGUUAGGCGGCCCCUAAGCCGAGGCCGAAAGGCGUAGGUGAUGGGAAGCCGGUUAAUAUUCCGGCCCCACCCAGCUGGAGCGAAGGGGGGACGCAGAAGGAGAGGGCAGCGCGGCGCUGGUCGUCCGCGUCUAAGGGCGUAGGAGGUGGGCGAGGCAAAUCCUUGCCCACAUAAAACUCCGAGACCCGAUGGGGACCCCGAUUAAAAUCGGGGGAACUGCCCGGUCUCCACGCUGCCGAGAAAAGCCCCUAAGCGUUGAAGGCUGGGUGACCGUACCGCAAACCGACACAGGUAGGCGAGGUGAGUAUCCAAAGGCGCACGAGUUAUCCGUCCUCAAGGAACUCGGCAAUUUGGCCCCGUAACUUCGGGAGAUGGGGCGCUCCGAGUAGGUGUAGUAGCUCGCCUACGAAGCCGAAAGGAGCCGCAGAUAAUCGGGCCUGGCGACUGUUUAUCAAAAACACAGGUCUCUGCUAACCCCUAAAGGGGAAGUAUAGGGACUGACGCCUGCCCAGUGCCGGAAGGUUAAGGGGAGCCGUUAUCCCGAGUUUUCGGGAGAAGCGGUGAACCGAAGCCCCGGUAAACGGCGGCCGUAACUAUAACGGUCCUAAGGUAGCGAAAUUCCUUGUCGGGUAAGUGGACAACUUGCCCCUCCAUCCCGCGAGGGAUGGUGCAAAAGCCGGCUUAUAUCGGGGAAGCCCUCCUGUCAGUGCGGGCUGGCAGUGGGUAACCCCGAGGGAAGUCGCCUCGGUCCCCAACCGAGGUUGACCCCGUAGAGACUGACCCGAAAGGGGAGCCCCGAAAAAUAUUUCGGGGAAUACGCCGGCCCCUCACUAUAACCCCAUUUUGUGGGGGAAGCAACUAUGGAGGACCUCCUUGAUAACUCUAAACCCGGAGGGAAAAUGCAUCCGUGGUAUGUGACCGGACUGGUGGAAGGUGAAGGAUGCUUUUCGGUGUCCUUUAACAAGCGAGCCAGGCUGAAGGUUGGAAUAGAAACUCGACCUUCAUUCUCGGUUAGUCUUGCCAGCCGGGACCUGGAGUUGAUUAAGGCUCUGAGGGAUUUUUUCGGAUGUGGCGGAAUACGGUUCUGCAGGCAGGACCGCACUUACAAAUACGAAGUGCGCUCUAUAGACGACCUGUGGAAGCGGAUUAUUCCCCACUUCAGGAAAUUCCCGCUAAGAGGUAGCAAAGCUGAGGAUUUCGAGAAGUUCGUCGAGAUAUGCGAUUUGGUAAGAAGGAGCCAUCAUCUAAAUCCGGAGUACCUGAGACAUAUAAUAGAAUUAGCAUAUAGUAUGAAUGUCUCGGGGAAACGGAGGUAUGGGAAGGAGGAACUCCUACGGUUGCUUCGUGAGGUGAAGAGAUAGUCCACCACCGAUGGAAACAUCGGGAAAAGGUGAAGUUCCGACCCGCACGAAUGGCGUAACGACUGGGCCAGUGUCUCGAGGACGGGCUCGGCGAAAUUGGAGUCGCGGUGAAGAUACCGCGUACCCGCGCCGGGACGGAAAGACCCCGGAACCUUUACUGCAGUCUGGUGUUGGGUUCUGGCAUAUCGUGCGUAGGAUAGGUGGGAGGCUGUGAAGCACCGACUCCGGUCGGUGUGGAGCCGCCCUUGAAAUACCACCCUCGGUAUGUCGGGGCUCUAACCCACCGCCUAUAAGUACGGGCGGGGGGACAGCGCCUGGCGGGCAGUUUGACUGGGGCGGUUGCCUCCUAAAAGGUAACGGAGGCGCCCAAAGGUCCCCUCAGCUCCGUUGGAAAUGGAGCGUUGAGUGUAAAGGCAUAAGGGGGCUUGACUGCGAGACCGACAGGUCGAGCAGGUGCGAAAGCAGGGCUUAGUGAUCUGGCACCCCCGUGUGGAAGGGGUGUCACUUAACGGAUAAAAGGUACUCCGGGGAUAACAGGCUGAUCGGGCCCGAGAGUUCACAUCGACGGCCCGGUUUGGCACCUCGAUGUCGGCUCGUCGCAUCCUGGGGCUGAAUCAGGUCCCAAGGGUUGGGCUGUUCGCCCAUUAAAGCGGCACGUGAGCUGGGUUCAGAACGUCGUGAGACAGUUCGGUCCCUAUCUGGCGCGGGCGUAGGAGGCUUGAGGGGGUCUGUCCCUAGUACGAGAGGACCGGGACGGGCGAGCCCCUGGUGUACCAGCUGUCGCGCCAGCGGCACAGCUGGGUAGCUAUGCUCGAUAGUGAUAAGCGCUGAAAGCAUCUAAGCGCGAAGCACCCCCCAAGAUAAGGCCUCCCGUGUCCCGAUUAGUCGGGACCCUGAAGGGCCCAGGGAGACUACCUGGUUGAUAGGCGGCAGGUGUAAGCGCCGCGAGGCGUUGAGCCGAGCCGUACUAAUAGCCCGUGAGUCUUAACCAAAC